GACGUAGGUGGCGAACGUUAUCCGGAAUCAUUGGGCGUAAAGGGUGCGUAGAUGGCAUGAUAAGUUAUUGGUGGGAAAUCGAGGCUCAACCUCGUGGAAAACUAGUAAUACUAUUUUUGCUUGAGUGCAGGAGAGGUUAACGGAACUUUCUGUGGAGGGGUAAAAUCCAAAGAUAUAGAUUGGAACACCGAUAAGGCGAAGGCAGUUAACUAUUCUGUUACUGACAUUGAGGCACGAAAGCGUGGG
rnacentral:rRNA from 1 species